CACGUAGGCACCAAGCGUUGUCCGGAUUUAUUGGGCGUAAAGAGCUCGUAGGCGGUUCGGUAAGUCGGGUGUGAAAUCCCCGGGCUCAACCUGGGAACUGCAUCCGAAACUGCCUUGCUCGAGUAUGGGAGAGGGAAGUGGAAUUUCCGGUGUAGCGGUGAAAUGCGUAGAUAUCGGAAGGAACAUCAGUGGCGAAGGCGACUUCCUGGACCAAUACUGACGCUCAGGUGCGAAAGCGUGGGGAGCAAACAGG
rnacentral:rRNA from 1 species